rnacentral:rRNA from 1 species
GCGCAGAGAUUCGGUCCAGACUCCUACGGGAGGCAGCAGUAGGGAAUCUUCCGCAAUGGGCGAAAGCCUGACGGAGCAACGCCGCGUGAGUGAUGAAGGUCUUCGGAUCGUAAAACUCUGUUAUUAGGGAAGAACAUAUGUGUAAGUAACUGUGCACAUCUUGAGAGAGACGGUACCUAAUCAGAAAGCCACGGCUAACUACGUGCCAGCAGCCGCGGUAACGUUGAGAAAC